ACCCAAACACUUGGCGAUGGGCGCACGGAAGCUAUGCAUAAAGCAGCAGUAGAAAAGAUAAUAGCAACUCAUGUUUUCCUUUCUUCUCAUUUUUUUCAUUCCAUUGUACAGCAUGCAAGUGUUAAUUUUUUUUGCACAUGUCUGUGUUCUGAUAGCAGCAUGUCGACAACUUGAAGGACAGCAAAGGUUUCAAGGAUGCACCCGAUGCUCCAAGCUUCUCACUGGGAUUUACAGAUGAUGAGGAUUCUCAAAGAAUGGACAAGGAUCAACUUGCAACAGAAGAUGAACUGUACAGAAUCAUAUGCAGACACACUAGGCACGAAGAUGGCACAAUAUUCUUUGAAUCCAAAGAGAUAACACUUACAGCACAAGAGGUAGCAGCGGGCAUGGUUAUGGGGAGAUCGCUAGGCACCAACGCCUUGCAUCUCGGGACUUACGUGCUGUCACAGGACCCUAGAAAGAAGAGGACAAAGAUAAUGUCCCCAUGGGUGUUGAGAAUAUAGCGCAGCCGGGCGGCGAUGGCCACUGGUUCACAUUUGCUGUAAAUAUGCCAGAUAAGAAGUUUCAAAUCAUAGACUCUCUGAGAAAUAGCGACAAUGCUGAAUUGAGAUGGAAAGCAAAUCAGGUGCGUGCAAAAGUGAUCACCCUAUAGAACAAGUACACAUCUAAGGUUGCGGGGUGCAAGAUCCCUACCAUUUACAACUUCGAGACGUAGUUCAUUGAGG